UCACUAGAUCAUAGAAGGAGAUCAGGUUGGUCAAGCAGGACCUGCCCUUCGUGCUGUCGGCUUUGGUUAGGUUAGAGACACGCUUUCCAGUCUGCAGCUCCUGUGUCACAUAUAGAUUUGCUUCCUCAUUGCCAAGAAAGAAAUUCAAGCAUCUCGUCCACGUCCUGGGUGACUGAAAGGAUAGAGCAACUACCUCUCACCUUCUUAAGAAGGAGAAGAGUGGUGUGUUCUCCAUUUUCUUUAAUGAAACAAAAUGAGAUGUGUCCUAUUUUGUCUGAUUUUAUUUCAAAUUUAUUGUUGCUCACGGAGGCCUAAGUAUUUCCACACGUAAUGAAGGCAGAUUUCUGAAUAGUUUAAAGCAGGAGCAACAUAAGAUAAUGGCUUCUUUAUCACAAGUAUAAAAUAUAUUAGUCUUAUCGGGAUAAUUUUUCCUAUGAUGUGCCAUAUUUUUGAUUGUGAAGCCUCAGAUAUAAAGACUGAAUGGGCACUUUGUUCAUUUCAGUUCUGAAAGGUCAAAUAGUAGCACCAAAUACAUCCAGUCCUUACUCUCAGGUACAGUUUGAAAGGGCAUCUCACCCCUGCUGCUCCACUUGUAAGGGCAGUGUAUUUGUAAGCACUUCAUUACCUACUCUGGGAAACCUAAACUCAUGUUUUAUAGGUAAAUGCUAACCACGAUGUUUGUGGAGGAAAGAACGCAAAAACUUCCAUUGCUUUCAUUUUCUUCCAGCAGUGCCUAAUAUCUAAAUGGCAUAGAUUUAGAUCACUUCCACAGAGCUAUGGAACUGAAUAGGCCACGAACCAUUUUAGCAAUAAUUGCUUUUCUAUUCACAUCUAUAUUUUUGCCAGUCAUGUGAAAUGUGCUCCGUUUGGUAUUAACGUUCUGUAUUUCUUUGAGUAAAUAGAGCAACAACCAUCUUGUCCUCGUAUAUUACCCUGAACAUGAUCAGUCACGCCUGGCGAGGAACUUCGUGCAGUAUGAAAAUUCAUUCAGUUAAUGUCUGUUCUCGGUGUUUUUCAAGAAUUGCUUUGGUUGUCGACACCCACACGCGGUUUACGUGUAUAAAGAGGAAUACUUUUCCUCUUAGCCCCACACAUUGCUCUUUAAAUCCUCGGCAAGUUGAGGGUUUAAACCAGCAGGAUUUGUACACCUAGUUCUCUGAAAGCUGCCAUUAGAGCACUUCGUAAACGGGAGUGACAGUAUAGCAAAAUCACUCUGGGUUGCAAAAUACCUCCGCCUCUUGGACUUAAAGCUAAGGCACUCCAUAACUGCAGUUUCAGCUUCAUUACCAGUAACCAAAUGGUGAACGUUAUAUCACUUUAACAAACAGCUUAAAGAUCUGCUUGAGAAGUUCUUUAAGCCUCUCCAUCUGUAACUUCUGAGCUUC
ensembl:lncRNA